rnacentral:rRNA from 1 species
UACGUAGGGAGCGAGCGUUAUCCGGAAUUAUUGGGUGUAAAGGGUGCGUAGACGGGUAAAUAAGUUAGUUGUGAAAUCCCUCGGCUCAACUGAGGUACUGCAACUAAAACUGUAUAUCUUGAGUGCGGGAGAGGAAAGUGGAAUUCCUAGUGUAGCGGUGAAAUGCGUAGAUAUUAGGAGGAACACCAGUGGCGAAGGCGACUUUCUGGACCGUAACUGACGUUGAGGCACGAAAGUGUGGGGAGCAAACAGG